rnacentral:misc_RNA from 1 species
GAGCAGGAGAGGCGAUCGCCGAUUUCCUUCUUGUGUAAUCCCCUCCUCCUCCCCCCCUCCCCCCACGCCUUCGACACUCUGCAUACGGAAGUGGUGAGGCAGGCGCGCACACACAUAUAUAUGUGUGCGUGAUGCGUAGCAACGAUGCAUGCCCGCCGCCCAGCUGGCACUAAAACCGUAGGCGAUGUGCUGUGCCACUCUGCAAGCGAUAAGCUCAGUGGCGCGAAGAAGCCGCGCUACGGCUCUGUGCGACUCUUCUCGCAUGACGCGUCUGCCUUUCGUCAGCAGCAGCCGGUGCAGCCCUCCACUCCGCGGGAGGGCAAACCACGUCGCGCAGCCGUCAUACAACGACGCAACCAGCGCAGCCGCUCCGCAGGCAGCGGCGCCUCGCGCCGCCCUGUCGAUGAGGCUCUGUUUUGCGCCCUUCGAAUGGAGAGCCAAGCCGAUGUACUGAGGCAGUUGCGGGCACACGGGCUAGCGAUGCUCGUAAAGGACUUUCGAACACUAUGCAGCAGCCUCAGCCUGCACAACAUACGGGUGGAGGAGUUCACAUUCCUCUGCGCUGCUGUGCUGCAAUGCGAUCUGCGGCCUCGCGACUGCGAAGUCGUCUUUGCAUUUCUGCGGGCAGAACGCGCAUCGGGCGGUGGAAUCAGCGUCGCGCACCUUCUGGAGCGGUUGCGGACGCUGUUUGAGCCUCUCGAAGUGGUGUGCGCGUUGCAGCUCAAGUGCCUCCUCGAAACACGACGACUUGAUUACUGCAACGUGUCACUCAAUGAACUGCAGAAGGCUGAGGCCGGGCUGCGUUCCCUUCUUGUCGAUGACCCGCUCGAUAUCGAAGUGGGCGCGCAGUGGGAGCAUCUCGAGGCCGAGCUGCAACGGCUGCAUGUGCGCUUUUCCGUCCCCGUACCGACGUUUCGUUUGCUGGUGCGUCGCUCAGCGCGCGCUGUGCGGUCGGCAGUGCGCUCGCUGGGUUGGGAUGGUAAGAUACAGCGGCAUCUCUGGCAAGAGGAAGACGAGGAACCCAGAGAUGACGGUGUGCAGGAGCCACUCCACGCCUUCGAUGUUGGUAGCCUCAGCAAAUGUACAGUAGAUGAAAUUUGCAACGAGGGUGGUGUGCAGGACAAGAGCGCCGCGGUUCUCUCCGCAGUGGAGAAGCUGUACCAUCAUCGCCUGGCUUUGGGAGCGCAGUCCCUGGUCGCCGCUGAGCGGCUGGGUCUUGCGCUCGGGGCAAACGUGCGAGCCGCCAGCCGUGUCUCGUCCUUUAGCUCGCCGAACUCCGCAGCCGACCCGACACACCCCCGCUUCAAAGCCGACCUCUACGCCGUUUCGGCAGACGCGCCAUCUUGCAAAGGGGCCAGAAGGGAGGCUUACGCUACAAACUAGUGGUGAGGCGAGGUGACCAGCUGCAAAUGGGAGACAGGGGUGCCACAGGGGCGAUUGAAAUGGUGCAGCAUUCGUGGUCUCUUGUGGCCAACGCUCUAUUCACUUCCCAAUUCCCAUUUUGUGCUGGUCUCUCUUCUCGUGUGCCCCCCCCCAUAAGAAAAAUGUCUUUACGGCCAGGCUUUUGUGCACUGACGUGCGGCGUUACGCGGGUGGUCCUCCAGUUUUGUCUCACAUUGUGUGCGUAGCUCACCGGAUGUGUCUUUCGUCGUUUUCCUCCAAGCUGCGCGUCCCUUGCGCCGCUUCGCGCUUUCCUCUGGCCAUCGGAACACACGCGAUGCGACCGGUAGAAAAAAAAAACAAAGGAGGAGGAGGGGGGCUGGGGGCGAUUUGGUGCCUUACACGCAGCCCCGUCUCCGCUGAGAUUACGCGCGCUCUUUGCGCCUUUUCUCUCCGCCUUUGGAUUUCGGCUCUCCUUACUUGUACCAUACCCAUCUCAUACACAAAACAAAAAAGAAGAAGAGUGUGGCAGCAACGGAAACGGAGGCGAACCUCCAGGCAGUCUUCCCUGAGGGAAGGUUUGCACUGGCGAUUCUCGCCGUGCUCCUGCAGACUCCCUCGGAGCUUGGGUAUGUCGGAGCUGAUGACGUAUGAAGUGUGUGCCCCCUCUCUCCACCAACCACACACAGGGGUGCGCACCUGCUCUCUCAGUCGCUGCCCACUCCUCUGCCUUUCCGUUCCUCCAAUCUCAGUCAAUUUCCACUCCUCGCCUCGUGUACGUGUGUGCGUGUGUGUGUGUGUUAG